UUCAAGUAGCUACUUGUGUAGAAUUAUUUUAUAAAAUGAGCCUACUAAAUUUUGUAGCUCAUGACAUCAAUUCUUAAUUUGUUACUAAUUUCUUAGCUUUUGUGCAUAUAUUUAGAAUCAAUUGAAUGCUUCUUUUCUGUUAUAAACAUUAAACUAAUUAAUAUGGACUAUAUGUAAAAUACAACUAAUAUACAAAUAAAAUGCCUUGGCCUAACAAUUAACAGAAAAAAAAUAAUGAAUGAUUCCGCGUGGUCAUAAAAAUUGUAUAAGUGCAUGUGCCCGUUGCAAAGUUUUAGAGUAAUUCAUAUCUCAACAUGACCAGGACACGUGUCAACACUGGCAGGACUUGCACAAGUUUCUGGUUCAGUAAUUGUUUAACUCAGGUUGAAUGCUCUGAACUUGUUUUUGUUUUUUGAUAUUUUGUGAAGAAAUUGCAAUAUUGAUAUUAACAAAAUUUUAUGUAAUGAUUGAUAAUAAUGUUGGUGUGUUAUUGGUAGUUAAGUAUUGUUAUAAUAGAAUAGAGUAGGUGUUUCGUAUUAAUGCAAAGAGGGGUAUAAAUACCCUAUUACAGGAUCUACUAGAAAGGAAACCUAUUAAAACAUAAUAAAGGAAAAAAGGAAAGUAAAUAAAAGGAAAUCAAAGUAAUUAAUAAAAAAAUCUGCAUAUUAAUAUUCCAAUAUUCUAAUACUCCCUCUCAAAUUGAAGUAUAGAAGUUAGUCAUGUUCAACUUGAAUUUGAAAUCAUCGAACAAUGACCGAGGAAGGUUCUUUGUGAGAAUAUCAGCUAGCUGACCACUAGUUGACACAAACGGAACACAAAUUUGCCCGGACUCGAGCUUUUCCUUAAUGAAGUGACGGUCAAUCUCAACUUGCUUGGUGCAAUCAUGCUGGAUUGGGUUGUGAGCAAUGCUAAUGAUAAUAUUGUAAUCACAGAAUAAUUGUAAGCUAGCGGAGACUGGUAUACGGAGUUUGUGGAGCGUGAUGCGUAACCAUAGAUCUUCACAAAUUCCUAAGGAUAUGGACUGAAAUUCAGCUUCAGCACUGCUCCGGGUAACUACAUAUUGUUUUUUUGCUUUUCCAUGUACCUAGCUUUCCCCACACAAAUGAGCAGCAUCCCGAGAUAGAUCGUCGAUUAUGGACGGACCCGACCUAAUCUGUGUCUGUGUAAACUGUAAUAGAAUAAAAGGUGUGGUGGGACAAAACUGAGCUCGGUGUGCCUUUUAAAUAGUGGAGAAUCUGUUGAACAACUUGGAGGUGAUUUUUGUAGGGAUCAUGCAUGAAUUGACUGACUAUCGCAACUGCGUGGUACAUGUCUGGGUGUAUAUGGGCAAGGUAGAUGAGUUUUCUCACAAGGCGUUGGUAGCGAGUUUUGUUUACAGGAACAACAUUGGGAACAUCAAAAAGUUUUUCAUUCGGAUCCAUCAGGACAACCACUCGUUUGCAUAGGAGAAGAUUAUUCUUUGUCAAAAGGUCAAUCACUUAUUUUCAUUGAGAAGACAAAUACCCUGAGAUGACCGAGCAACUUUCAUGCCUAAGAAGUAUCGGAGAAAUCUCAAGUCCUUCAUUUCAAAGGAAGCAACAAGAAUGCCUUUAGAGACUCCAAUGUUACUAGAUCAUUACUUGUGAGAACAACAUUGUCAACAUAGACAAUAAUGAUAGCUACCUGACCACUGGAGGAAUGCUAGAAGAAGUGACUAGAUUGGGCUUGAAUGAAUAUAUGGCCUACCACCACUUUUAGGAAUUUCCCAAACCAUGCCCGUGGUGAUUGCUUCAAUCUAAAAAGAGAUUUUCGUAGUCUGUAUAUUUGUCCCUGAGAGGCAGUGGAGUCAAAGCCUGGAGUAAGAGCCAUGUAUACUUCUUUUGUAAGAUCAUCAUUCAGGAAUGUAUUCUUGACAUCAGGUUGGAAUAAGGGCCAAUCCAGAUCACUGUAAGACAUAAGAGGACUUUAAUGGUGUUUAAUUUAACAACAGGAGUAAAUGCCUCAUCUUAAUCAACUUUGUAGUCUGAGAGUAUCCUUUAGUGACCAACCGUAUCUUAUUGUGUUCAAAGGAUCCAUUCGAUUAAACUUGAUGCUAAAAUUCCACAACAUCCAAUUGCUUUCUUGCCCCGAGGAAGAUCAACAAUGCCUAAAUAUGGCUUCACUGAAAGGCAUUCAUUUCCUCCAUGACGAUAAUUUUCCAGGUCGGUGUGCUAAGGCAACCUCAAUAAUAGCUGAAAGUUGAUGAUUGGUCAGGGUCGUAGCAAAUGCUCUGUAAGUUGGAGAUAAUCUGCAAAGAGAGACAUAGUUUACCAUGGGAUAGGGAAAAUCUGUCUGAUGUUGUACCUUACUAGAGGAACUGACCUCAUUUGGAGUAGGAGCAGUGUUGGGGAUGUCGUCCGAAGAGGAUUCAGAGUCCAACAAGGGGUUAGCGAGCUAUAGAGUAGGCGCAUCAAAAUGAGUGUGUCGAGUGUAGACACAGAGAGUGGGAGGAUUUGCUGGUGGAACCAAAGGGACAGAGGGUUCCUCAAUGGUAGGUAACGUGGGGAGGGGGGGGACAUCCAUAGGAGUAGGGUAAAGAACUGUGUCCAAUAACUCUAGCUCCCUCUCAUUAGAGGCUGAGUUAAGAAAGUAACGAACACUUUCAAAAAAGGAGAUAUCAAAACUCACAUAGACCUUAUUUGUGGUAGGUCUAUGUCAAUUUACUGGCAGAUAAAAUGUUACAUUUCAACGGAGGUUGUAAGAUAGAUUAUAGUGUUAGACUUGUUAAAAUAACAGACCCUUUACCGACAAUGAAACUUUGGGACCUAGCAUAAUUUUUAACAUAUUUUUUUCUGAACAAGGAUAGUAUGUCGAGAAGGCUUGAGAGCUUCUAGUCAUAAUGUACGUUGCACUUGAAUCAAUGAUCCAUGGAAUAAAAGAAGUAAGUGUCACAUGAUUGGUACAUUGACGAAUGUGGGAGGUCAACGACCCAAAAGCGAAUGAACUGGAUCCAAGCAGCUUGAUUAAGUGCUCCAUUUGAAUCUUAAGAGAAUUGGAGGAUUCCAAAUUAUUUUGGGUAGAAACCGGAUGCACUGUAAUGGAUUCAGAAGCUGUAGCGAGACCUUUGGCAGCAGAAGAUUUGGCCGAAGAGAUCAUAUAGUGAAAGAUGAUUCAGAAGUCUGGCCCCAAAUAGUAUGGCUAAGUCUAAGUUGAUGAUGAAAUGUGAACGAGCGAUUGCCACCGAAGAUGGCCUUUUGUUCACUAAAUAAUUUUUAUUGGAAAAGGAUUCGCAGACUCAACUGUGUGAAGCCCACCAAGAAUGAUGCUUAACCAAAAUUCAUGAUUGAGAAAGAUUGAACUAGAAGCCUUGGUUGAUGAAGAUUGAUCUAAGAUUUCUUUUGUUUUAUUUAUAUUGACCAUGGGCUGCACGGGAUUACAAUCGGUGGGCAUGCAAAGUAUUUCUCCUUUCAGGAUUGUUUUUAUAAAUCAUAGUUUCACAUUUAAGGCUCCAGAUUUAUUUACUGAGUUUUUUCAUAUUGUUACAAUUGUAUGUAUUUUUAACUUAAUCUCGAAAACUAUGGGUUACAAUUCUUCCAUAUAUUUUUUUUAGUUUUUUAUAUAUUUGUAUGAAACCAU